GAUGAACGCUGACAGAAUGCUUAACACAUGCAAGUCUUUGGCGAAUCUGUGCUUGCACAGGCUAGCCAAGGCGGACGGGUGAGUAACGCGUAAAGAACUUGCCCUGCAGACAGGGAUAACAGACGGAAACGACUGAUAACACCUGAUACAGUUGCCGGCACGCAUGUGCCUGGCAAUGAAAAGAGAUGCUGCAGGAGAGCUUUGCGUCCUAUUAGCUUGUUGGUGAGGUGACGGCUCACCAAGGCGAUGAUAGGUAGCCGGCCUGAGAGGGUGAACGGCCACAAGGGGACUGAGAGACGGCCGUGACUCCUACGGGAGGCAGCAGUGGGGAAUAUUGGACAAUGGGGGCAACCCUGAUCCAGCAAUUCUGUGUGCACGAAGAAGGUUUUCGGAUUGUAAAGUGCUUUCAGCAGGGAAGAAGAAAGUGACGGUACCUGCAGAAGAAGCGACGGCUAAAUACGUG
rnacentral:rRNA from 1 species